GACGUGAGGGCGCGAGCGUUUGUCCGGAUUUAUUGGGGCGUAAAGAGCUCGUAGGCGGCUUGUUACGUCGACUGUGAAAACCCGCGGCUCAACCGUGAUGGUCUUGCAGUCGAUACGGGCAGGCUAGAAUUCGGUGAGGGAGGACUGGAAUUCCUGGUGUAGCGGUGAAAUGCGCAGAUAUCAGGAGGAACACCGGUGGCGAAGGCGGUCUGCUGGGCAGUGGACCCGUGAGGGUCCAAUAAGCCGACG
rnacentral:rRNA from 1 species